AAAUAAAUAAAUAAAUAAAUAAAUAAAUAAAUAAAUAAAUAAAUAAUUUUUAAAAAAAAGAAAAAGAAAAUACCAGAAAAAAACCAACCAGAUGCCUCACUGAUAUCACUGUGUGAUCAAUACAUUUAAAGAUGGUGUGGCCACACUGUGGGGCUGAUGAAGAGUUGUGGCUCCAAUGGAGAUGUCACUUGGUGGUAGGGAGCUUCCCUGGCAUGCCCAAAGCCUUGGGUCCAGUCCCCAGGAAGGGGGUAGGUGCAGGCAACACAAUGGUGAAGCCACGUAUCAAAAGCAUUCAAUGGCCUGGACUCGGAGUAGAAAUUGGGUCAGGGGGACUAAGUGGCCCAAAAGCAACAAGACCAGUCAAGAGUGUGUCUCUAAGGGUACAUCCUGUCCUGGGACUCUUCCUCCCCAUCUCAGUUCCCUGGCUGCCAUGUGGUAAGCAGCCUUCUCUACUGCACCCCUGAUCUGCCAUAACUUCUUCCUCACCACAGGCCCAAAGUGAUGAAGCCAGCCGAUCAUGGCUUGAGUCCUCUGAAACCCUAAACCAAAGCAAAUGCUUCCUCUUCUAAGUUGUUUUCUCAGGUAUCUUUUCCCAGCCAAACACAGCCGGAAUCCCUGACCAGGCGGAACAGAAAAUGUGGAUCAGGGAUGCCAACUGGGAGCUGGAGGUGACCAAGAAGAGAGGGAGAAACGAGUCUCCUUUGGGGAAAACCAGAAAGAGAAAAGUAUUUUUCAGGCUGGGAGAGCCCUGAAGCGCUACAAGGCUGAAGGAACGGACCAUGCUGAGCCAGUGAGUGCUAAGGAUUAGUGAGAGGUACCCCGAAGGAUGGGAGAGAAGCGUGAAGCCUAUUAUCAGACAAUUCUGAGCUCAUCUGAAAAGCUGGAUUAAGGCCCACCUCAAGGCUUUGACCAUGCUGAAGUGAUGAGUCAGCAGUUCUUAGUUCCGUGCAGGCCCGGAUUGAGUGCUGUAUGCAGACUGUUCAUUCUCAACAGCAGCCCUGCAAGAGUUGGGUUGUGUCUUGGUCACGUUUCCCUUGCUGUAAAGAAACACCAUGACCAAAGCAACUUGUUUAAGAAAAGAAAAAAGAAAGCAUUUAAUUGGGGACUUGCCUACAGUUUCACAGGGCGAGUCCAUGGCCAACAUGGCAGGAAGCAGGGCAGCAGGCCGGCAUGGUGCCGGCGCCGUAGCUGAGAGCUUACAUCUGCUCCACAAACGGGAAGCAGAGAGAGCAAGACCGGUGGGCUCUUUAGACCUCAAAGACCACCCCUGGUGACACACUUCCCUAACAAGGUCACACCACUUAACUCUUCCCCAAACGGUCCACCAACCAGGGAUGAACAUUGAAAUACAUGAGGGCUGAGAGGAAGCCAAAGAGCUUAUGCGAUGGAUGCUGGGGAUAAAGCUGGGGGGGCGGCUAGAGACCGACAGCUAGGGUGAGGAGAUGGCCCCUGCACCAGGUGUACAACUGGAGCUGACAUGUCCUGGGGACCUCAGUACCCCAACUCUACAGUUGACAGAGCCCUCCUUAGAAAACAAAGGAAGCAUAAGCCAUCACAGUCCAGCAGGGUCCCUCUCUAUCCUGCCUUGCACCUCCCUGAUUUCACUCUUUCCAACCCAGGGACACCCUAAGUUUGCAUCCUUAGAGCAAUUGGGGUUCUGUGGCCCCAGUGUUUCUCUGUCUCUUUUCUUUCAUGGGGUGACAAUUUAAGAAAAGGUUUUUAAAAUACCGAAUGCUGUGGUUUUUAUGUAACUUUCAGGUUUAUCCAGUAACGGAAAGGAGCCAGAGCCAGUCACACAUUGUGACUACUUCCUACCGUGGACCGCAUCCAGGGCUAAGAGUUUUACAAGCGCUGUUUCCAUGUCAUUCCUCGUGAGGACCCCAACAGUAUUUGCAAAGACACUCAACUCUUCCUGUAGAGAUGGAGCAUAAAGGAAUCCAAUGACUAACUAUGCACAUAGCAUCCCUCCUCAGCAAACUCCUGGAAAGAUCCUCAGUAGAACAAAGAAAGCUUCCUCUAGACAGUCCCAGCUUUGAUGGGCCAACCUGGAGAAUGUUACUUUAAAACAAUACCAAGAAAGAUA